rnacentral:rRNA from 1 species
CUGCAGUCUGCAACUCGACUGCACGAAGCUGGAAUCGCUAGUAAUCGCGGAUCAGCACGCCGCGGUGAAUACGUUCCCGGGCCUUGUACACACCGCCCGUCACACCAUGGAAGUCUGCAAUGCCCGAAGCCGGUGGCCUAACCACUUAUGUGGAAGGAGUCGUCUAAGGCAGGGCAGAUGACUGGGGUGAAGUCGUAACAAGGUAGC